GACGUAGGGGGCAAGCGUUAUUCGGAAUCACUGGGCGUAAAGCGCACGUAGGCGGCUUCUUAAGUCGGUGGUGAAAUCCUGGAGCUCAACUCCAGAACUGCCUUCGAUACUGAGAGGCUCGAGUCCGGGAGAGGUGAGUGGAACUGCGAGUGUAGGGGUGAAAUUCGUAGAUAUUCGCAAGAACACCAGUGGCGAAGGCGGCUCACUGGCCCGGUACUGACGCUGAGGUGCGAAAGCGUGGGGAGCAAACAGG
rnacentral:rRNA from 1 species